GCAGCUGCUGUCGAGGCAGGAGGUGGAGCGGGCGGUGCGGAGUCUGAUGGACGGCGGGGAGGAGGCAGAGGAGCGGAGGCAGAGGGCGGCCAAGUUCGCGGAGGAGGCGAGGAAGGCGAUGCAGGAAGGAGGGUCGUCUUACAAGGACCUGGACAGGCUCAUGCAGUUCGCCUCGCAGAAAGAUUGCAAUGGAGCAGAUUAGAUUCUGAUAUUAGAUUAUGAAUUCAUCAUUGAAUAAAAGUUGGUGUGUCUUUCAUGUGUUGAGUUAUGCAUGAGAACGUAGACAUGUCCUGUUGCACCAAUUUGGAUUAUAACUUUUUGCAGCUUAAAAUUUGAUUUCUAAAUAGUUUCAAUAGUAUAGAUCAUGUCUAAUAAAGCGGAUCGUAUGGAGGCCUCUUUACUAUCAAUAGUAUUCUAAUCUAAGAUCAUAAAUGACCUCUUGUCGCAUCAAUUUCUUUUUUAUACUACAGCCUUGUCUCAUCAAUUAUUCAUAAGAAUGAUACAUUUUUGAACUAUUAUAAAUACCCUCGAUAAAUUUUGACCAUUGCACAAAUAUGUAGUCAUAUAACAUAAUUUUAUUGGCUUAUAUAGAAAGAAUAUUAUUAAUUGUAUUUUCAGUUUUGGAAGUUCAUGAAUUCUUACUAUCAAAGUUUAUUAAUAAAGCCUCAUUGUUAUUUAUGACUAUCAAAUUACACACAGUUGGCAUCUAACGGUCGAUAUUUGUAUUCAACAUUACUUAAAAGUUUCUAAACAUCUCACAAAUCUCAUACAAUGGAUAUUUCGAAUGUCAAAAAUUUUCAAAUUUGAUAAUAAACUAUCAACAGAGUAUUAUUCAGGUGACCCGUUGAGGUAAAAGACCAACUACAACAAGCCCAAGUUCAAAAGCAAUGUAAAAGACCCUUCCUUGCCUAUAGGUGGUUCUGAAAUAGAACCUUAAGUUUGAUAAUUUAUUUACACUCUCAACACAUGAUUUUUUUCUUGUAAUUGAAUAUUUUAUGAAAAAUACUACACGUCCGCCUACUUAUAGAUUUAAUCUUAUUACCGUUCUAUCCUAAAAUUCACAAACACCCUAAUUAGGUUUAGAGAGUACAGGUAACUCUUUGUGCAUACAGUAAAGCUUUUAGCCACAUUUGUGUUUGUUCUCCUCAAUCACGAGUAAGAAUGAUCAUUUUUUUAAAAAAAAAGUCUCAAAUUUUAUUUCAAUUUUCUCUGAAAACAAUAAGAUACCAAUCAGGCAACGGCUAAAGUUCAAACGGACAAUUGAAGUCCAUGACCCAAAUCACAUUGCACUAUAUGCACAAGGAAAGAAUCACAAGAGUCGAAUAGAACAGAAAGUAACAAAACAUUCAGCAAAUCUAAGAAGAAAAGAGUACAGAGAUAAUCACGAAGUGUUCAAUAGUUGGGCCGGCAUGGCCAACAUUUAUCCGGGCCAAAUUGGGUUGGGGGUCGGCCCGGUCCGGUCCUUUUAAAAUUCGGCCCGUGCCAUGCUGGGCCAAAUUUUAUGAAUACCCGGACCAUCACAACCCUUCGGCCCGAAUGGCAUAGGCCGUUCCGGCUUAAGGCUGGCCCUUUAGUUUUUUUUAUUUUUUUAUUUUUUAUAAAUAGUAUAAUAUUUAAAAAUAAAAAAUAAAAUAAUUCUUUUAUAAUAUGCUCGCUAAAGAAUUAAAUUUAUUAAAAUAUUUAUAAAAUAAUGAAAUUUUUAAAUAAUUUUUAAAUUUUAGAUUUUAGAUUUUUGAAAAAAAAACUCUUUUUAAAUAUAUUUACAAAAGAAUAUUUUAGAAAAAGAUUAUUUUUUAGAAGGGCCUAGGACUUGGGACCCUAGGCCCUUUUUUUAACUCAGCCUUAGGAGUUGGGGAGCAAGCCCUCCAGCUUGGGGAGCUGGGUUCCCAAGGGCCGCAGGAGUCCCAAGGUCGGGCCGUGCUAGUCCGGUAGGCAUGUCCUAUGCAGGCCGUGCUGUGCCGUGCCGGGCCGACGAGCUCAGUUGGAGUGGCCUAGUACAACUCGUGAUGCCGGAUUAGGCGGGCCAGGCACGGGUUUGUACCCAUGCCGUGCCUGGUACGGCCCGUAGUCGUGCGAGGCCGAGAGGCCCUUUUUGUACCAAUCUAACAAUACUUAAUUUGACAGUACCACAGAGCCACGUGGCAAGCAUUCCUUUGCCUAUUCCACAUGGCGGGCACAAGGCAUUUCUCUCCCCCACAACAGAUGUUCAUUCUCUCUUUUCUCCUCUCCCCUUCUCUCUUUCUCUCUUUUUCCCUAAGGUGGCCCCCCCACUCUCUCUCCUAACAAUCCAGCCAGCUGUCUCCACUCUCUUUCUUCCUUACUCCAGCGGUCCCCCACUCUCUCUCUCUCCCUCCCCUACUCUUUCUCUUUCUCUUAUCCCCUCAUUCUAUUUCUCUCUCUCUCUCUCUCAUCAGAAAUCUUUUCGUGCAGGGUUCGAUCGGCCUUGAGCGGCGACGGCGGUGGCGGCUUAGUAUUUUUUUAAGAGUAGGAACGCAGAAUAUUAUGUUAUCCACUUCAAUUAUUAAAACAAUAAAUUAGGCAACAAAAGUGAGACAGGUAGGCAUCGAAAAAAAAAGAAUCCAACAAUACUUAAUUUGCCAGUACCACAGAGCCACGUGGCAAGCAUUCCUAUGCCUAUUCCACGUGGCGGGCUCAAGGCAUUUCUCUCCCCCACAACAGAUGUUCAUUCUCUCUUUUCCCCUCCCCUCUCCUCUCUUUCUCUCUCUUUUCCUAAGGUGGCCCCCACUCUCUCUCCCCUGACAAUCCAGCUAGCUGUCUCCACUCUCUUUCUUCCUUACUCCAGGUGUCCCCCACUCUCUCUCUCUCUCUCUCUCUCUCUCUCUCUCUCUCUCUCUCCCUCCCCUACUCUCUCUCUCUCUUAUCCCCUCCUUCUAUUUCUCUCUCUCUCAUCGGAAAUCUUUUCGUGCAGGGUUCGAUCGGCCUUGAGCGGCGACGGCGGUGGCGGCUUAGUAUUUUUUUAAGAGUAGGAACGCAGAAUAUUAUGUUAUCCACUUCAAUUAUUAAAAUAAUAAAUUAGGCAACAAAAGUGAGACAGGUAGGCAUCGAAAAAAAAAAAUAUAAUAAAAAGCUAAAGAAAAAAAAGACAGUACCUCUCAGUCUCUUAUAUAGAGUUUGUAUCUAUAGUAAAGCUUCAAAAUGACUGUAAGAAACAACAGCAACAAACAUAUUUAAUAUUUAAAAAUCGUGCCGAAUUUUAUUAGCCAACUAAAAAAUUUUAUUAAAUUCACGAGUGAGUAAUCUCUAAUAAAAAUGUUUUACUAAAUGAAACACCCAAAUAAAAAUAAAUUUUUUACACUUUUUUCUUAAUCACUUCAAAAGAAGGCUAGAUUAGUAAAUAUUUUUGAAUAUGAGACUAGAUGGGCAAAAUUUUUUUACAAAGGCUAGAUUAGUAAAUAUUUUGAAUAUGAGACUAGGUGGGUAAAAAUUUUUUACAAAGGGUAGAUGAGGAAUUAGAUCUGUUACAAAAGCUGGUCCCGCUUCUCUCCUCGCAACGAGAUCGUUACAAAAGCUGGUCCCGCUUCUCUCCUCGCAACGAACGCUAGCUAGCUUCUGAGCACUCGAGCUUCCCCAAGCUUCCCCACCCCAACAGCAAUGGCGACGAAGGGCUCCGCCCCCAACACUCUCCCGCAUUUCGUCCUCGUGCCCUUCAUGGCGCAGGGCCACCUCAUCCCGGCCAUGGACAUCGCCGCGCUGCUCACCGCCCGCGGCGCCGCCGUAACCCUAAUCACCACCCCCGUCAACUCCGCUCACCUCCGCCCCCUCGCCGACCGUCUCGUCGCCUCCUCCUCCCACUCCGGCCCCUUUCGCCUCGCCGAGCUCCCCUUUCCCGCCGCCUCCUUCGGCCUCCCCGAGGGCUGCGAGAGCCUCGACCUCGUCCCCUCCCGGGGCCUCGUCCUCAACCUCUUCCGCGCCGCCGCGGCGCUCCGCGGGCCCCUCACCUCCCUCCUCCGCUCCCUGCAGGGCCCGUCGCCUUCGUGCCUCGUCGCCGACAUCUGCCAGGCCUGGACCGCCGACGUCGCCGCCGACCUCGGCAUCCCGCGCCUCCUCAACCACGUCUCCUCCGGCCUCGCCGUGCUCUCCUACCUCUCCGCCGAGCGCCACGGCCUCAACGGCCCCGGCGCCGCCGCGGCGGAGCCCUUCGAGAUCCCCGGGGUCCCGCACGGGAUCACGGCCACGCGCGCCGAGGCCCCCGGGUGGUUCUGUUCCCCCGGGUGGGAGGAGAUCAAGCGGAGCACCCUCGAGGCCGAGACCACCGCCGACGGGAUCAUCCUCAACACCUUCGAGCUCAUUGAGGGCGACACCGCCGCCGCCUACGCGGCCAUGCUCGGGAAACCCGUGUACUGCAUCGGCCCCUCGUGCCUGAGUACUAAGGAUACGGUCGGCAGCGUCGGGAGAGGCGGAGAUGCCGCCGUCGACGCACCCCGGUGCGUCGAGUGGCUCGCUGCCAAGAAGCCCCGGUCGGUGAUCUACGUCAGCUUCGGAAGCCUCACCUACGUGCCGCCGAAGCAGGUCAUCGAGAUCGGCGAGGGCCUCGCGGCGGCCGGCGCGCCGUUUGUACUCGUCAUCAAGCAGACCGAGGUUCGCCCGAGGUAACGUUACGUCGUGAGACUACUGUUGUAUUUAGAGUCUAAUAGUCUUUAUACUCCUAACUUACUAGUCUUUGGAUAACGGGUGGAAUAAUUCUUUAUUCUCAAUAUUUGAGAAUAGUAGUUCUCGUUUACCUAUAAUAACCGGGUAUAAUUAUUACCGGCAACACUUUAUUUUCUAUAUAUAAUUACCCACUAUUUUAUCUAUCCAGACGUUAUUUUUCUUAUCCCUGGAAACAAUCCAAUUUUCAUCCAAACGCUAUUUUUUUUAUUCUCAUAUCUGUACCUAUCCAUAUAAUAGCUAAUUUUUACUUAUAUCCGAACCAAACGCUAACAUAGUAUUUUAGCCCAAUUAUAUUGAUUUGUUAAACAGAUAAUUUGUCAUUUGAAGAGUCGCCUGGUUAUCGGGUCAUCUAUUUCUUGAUGAUAAAGUUAGUAUUCAUAGAAAUAGAAAAAAAAAAAAUGAUGAGACUAACAACAACAUGCAAGAAUAGAAAUGUGAAGGUACUCAAACUAGGGAUCUCAUAUACAAUAAUAAUUAUUUUUGGUAAAAGAUUACAGAAUGGUGUUUAAUUUGAUCAAUUGCGCUCAACCAGGUAGCGCAGUGGCUCUCCGGCGAAGGGGGCUUCGAGGAUAGAAACAAGGAAAAGGGGAUGGUGAUAAGAGGGUGGGCUCCGCAGGCGGUGAUACUGUCGCACCCGUCGGUUGGGGGGUUAGUGACGCACUGCGGCUGGAACUCGGCGCUGGAGAGCGUGACCGCAGGACUGCCCGCAGUCUGCUGGCCGCACUUCGGCGACCACUUCAUGAACAAGAAACUAGUCGUCGACAUACUCAGGACCGGCGUGGACGUGGGGAUUAAAGGCUCGCUUGCCUUCAUGGAUCCGAACGGCAUGCAGCAGGUGUCGAGGCAGGAGGUGGAGCGGGCGGUGCGGAGUCUGAUGGACGGCGGGGAGGAGGCAGAGGAGCGGAGGCAGAGGGCGGCCAAGUUCGCGGAGGAGGCGAGGAAGGCGAUGCAGGAAGGAGGGUCGUCUUACAAGGACCUGGACAGGCUCAUGCAGUUCGCCUCGCAGAAAGAUUGCAACGGAGCAGAUUAGAUUCAGAUAUUAGAUUAUGAAUUUAUCAUUUGAAUAAAAGUUGGUGCGUCUUUCAUCUGUUGAGUUAUGCAUGAGUACGUAGACAUGUCCUGUU
rnacentral:lncRNA from 1 species